rnacentral:rRNA from 1 species
CGUGAGUGAUGAAGGCUUUCGGGUCGUAAAGCUCUGUCAAGUGGGAAGAACUCAUAUGGUGUUAAUACUGCCAUAUGUUGACGGUACCACUGAAGGAAGCACCGGCUAACUCCGUGCCAGCAGCCGCGGUAAUACGGGGGGUGCGAGCGUUAUUCGGAAUUACUGGGCGUAAAGAGCGCGUAGGCGGUCUUUUAAGUCAGGUGUGAAAGCCCGGGGCUCAACCCCGGAAGUGCACUUGAAACUAAGAGACUUGAGUAUGGGAGAGGGAAGUGGAAUUCCUGGUGUAGCGGUGAAAUGCGUAGAUAUCAGGAGGAACAUCGGUGGCGAAGGCGACUUCCUGGACCAAUACUGACGCUGAGGCGCGAAGGCGUGGGGAGCAAACAGGAUUAGAUACCCUGGUAGUCCACGCAGUAAACGGUGAACACUAGGUGUAGCGGGUAUUGACCCCUGCUGUGCCGCAGCAAACGCAUUAA